rnacentral:rRNA from 1 species
CUCUACUUGCCCUCUCCUUUGCCUUGCAUCUGAGUCGGUCAGCGCGAUAUCAAAACCUGGCGGCCUGGGCCUCGCCGUCGCCGAGGAAAGCGGCUUGCCCUUUAGCGGCGUCGGCGCGGGCGAGCAGAGGGCGAUCCUUCUCCACCCAUGGCGUGUGGUGGUCUGCGUCUAUCAUCAUAGCAUGGACGUAGGCGCAAGCGUAACCUCAGGACCCAGACGUACAUACAAGUCCGUGAGAGAUGUUGCGGCCGUGGAUGGAGUGGCGGCCGUGGAUGGAGUAACCUCAUCCCAGCGUGUCCACGGGCUUCGUACCGGUCGGUGCCAUCGCGACGCCGUAGCCAUCUCAAUGAUGGGAGCAGAACGAGAAUUGGUGGCUCGUUCGCUGGCAACACGUUUUGAGGCUUGCCCUGCUACAUGUCAGAAUUCGCCACGGCCAGUCCAGGGCUUCAACUUCGUAUUGUUUUGAAGGGAUCCAUGAGUUGUUGUUUGAGUUAGAUCGAACCGAUCGAUUUGUAACGCUCCACUAUUGCAUUCUUUUGACGGUCCCAAGGAAGACAUGAGGUAUAUUUGACAAAGAGGAAGCAACUACUGUCAUCGGUGUCCUCUACUAAAUUCCGAUCUUUGCCACCUCCCUCUUAAGAUCUCCCAUGCAUCCACUGCACCACCUGCAUGCUGUUGGAUGGCAGUGGGGUGUCCAAGCAUGUGGAAGGCCUAUCCGCUGUGGCGGCGCAGCUCAGCUCUGAAAGGAGAACAAUUCCAAGGACCAACCACGUAUACCACAACUCCUAAACCACUGUAAGAUUGUAAUUAAAUUGCUUUAUCAAUCAAUCAUAAGCUACAAUUAACCAGUGUAAUUUCCAUGUGCAACACCAGAGACCUUUUGAUUGAAUUGGUGGUAUUUUUCUGACCCAAAUCAGUUCAUAGUCAUGCUAGCCUGAUACAAUUAUCAUAUCCUUUUGUCCUGUCAAUAGAUGGGCUUUUGUCAUGUCAUGUUGAUGGUCUUUUGUCCUGUCAAGCAGAUGGUUAAUUACUGGACAAGUAGAGCAUGGCAUUUUUCAUGUGCAAUAGCCUCGAUCCACACUCACAAGCCGCAGAGGCUACUUCAACUCAAGUGGCUUGAUAAGUUUUUUACUAUGUGUACUCAUGUAUUAUUUAGGUCAGAAUAGUAUCAUAUUUGAUUGGUGCCCUCAGUUCAUAACACACACUAAUAGGUUACUUCUUUCUGGCUUUAACUUUGAAGCCUAAAUAAGUAUCUUUUUAUUGGCACUCAUGUAUUAUUUAGGUUAGAAUAGUAUCAUAUUUGAUUGUGCUUGCAGUCAUUUGUGAUUCUCAGUUCGUGUAUAAUAUAUGUUCGCAAGACAUAAAUUUAGAACUUUUGGC